CACACUUUAUGUAUCAUAAUGAUUACAUGAUAUAUUUGUUGUUGUUACUCUGGCAGAAUGAGAUGAAUAAGCUUGUCAUGAUCUGAACCUUCUUUUAGAACCUAAUUUAAAUGAAAGAUGUAAACAUUUGCAUAUUGAUCAGAUGCUUCAGUGCUCUGAGAGUGUUUAUAGUGCUGUGAGUUUAACACUUCAUCACUGACACACACAACAAUCUUCAUCAACAUGACCUUCAUCAUCAUCUUCAUCUGGACUCUCACAGCGUUUGCUCAAGAGUGUAGAGGACAGAUCACCGUCACUCAGAGUCCCUCAAUGACAGCAGCUCAACCAGGACAAACACUUAUAAUACACUGUAAAACUAGCAGUGAUGUGUACAAGGAUAGUUCGGGGGGUCGUUUAGCCUGGUACUUACAGAGACUCGGAGAAACUCCUAAACUCCUGAUUCGUCUUGUAAACACCCUCCAGUCAGGAACUCCAUCUAGAUUCAGUGGCAGUGGAUCUAACAGUGAUUUCACUCUGACAAGUGAAAGUGUUCCAGUUGAGAGCGUUGAACCAAUCAAAGACUGA